GUUAUAUACACAUUUAGUUGUUUUCAAAAUGUUUUUUAUAUUUAUAGAUUUACAAUGUUUUAACACUGAGACCGUGCAUGAGUCCCGAAGCGAGUGAACUGGCAAGGAUAUUUCAAAAACCUCACUUCCAAGUAAGUGUUAUUUAUAGCUUUACAGUUCUGUGUUUCAGCAAGAUGCGCUUUCUUUGUUAUAAUAGAGACUUUACGAUAUGGGACGGCAACGCAACGACAACGGCCAGAAUAUAAUCAUUCAAAAAAACGAUUGUAAAGAAAGUUUGUAGACCAUUAUUGAUCGUAUCAAUUUGAUACUGUUAGCUUUUGUUGAGAAAGUUCCAGGAGCUAUAAUUUGCCGAGUAUAGCACUUCUCGCGUCUUGAUUGAAAUGCAGGCGUUUUAUCCAAGACGUAAAAGUCUGUAUUUUCCUGUUGUAGACAAACGGUGCAUGGAUGACGUCUCAAACUCUCGUUGGAUGUUAUAAUUAUUCAUUUGUUUUCUUAAAUAUUCAAUUGUUUUUCUUAAAUUUCGAAACCGUCCACGGUCGAACACAUCAUUGAUGGUCGAACACAUCCGCAUUAAUUUCGUUCCCAAAUCGCGUUUGCGGUAAUUAGCACGUGGACCUAUUUGGUGACAUCUUACACCAAGUCGAUGUCUGUAAGGAUUUCGCGCAGUACGAUAAUAUAAGGUUUCAGAUUUUUGAAAACAUUGCGGGUAUAGCAGUCGAAACGCAAAGCAGUCAAUUUGGUUUGCUGGUUAUUUUGCCUUCUACAGUAUACAAAACAGUUCAGAAAUGUUAUAUGACAGAUAAUUUACGUUAAGUGUACUGUAGUUGUGUUUAAAGGACCAACAAACUGGCUUAUAUUUUAUUAGAUAAGAAUAAGAUAUUUCAAAGUUAAAAUGAUACAUUUUAAAAGAUAUUUACAUGGAACAAUUUAAUUUGUGUAAGGCACAGAUUUAGAUCGAGGACACGGACGUCAAAGACGACGUGAAAAUGCCGUGUUGCGCCCAUGUACUGUAUGGAUAUGCCACGUCAUUUUGACGCCAUUCUCACGUCUUUGACGUCCUCGAUCUAAAUCUGUCUAAUAACCAUGCAGGAAACCUGAAAAAUCUGAGACCUUAUAUUAUCAUACUGCGCGAAAUCCUUAAUUCCAUUGACUUGAGCAAAUGGUUCCACGCGCUAAUUACCGCAACUGCCAUCUGGGAACGAAAUUGAUGAUGUGUUCGACCACAAAGGGUCCCACUAUGAGUUAUGAUUGAAAUAAUAUUGUAUUUAUUUUUAAAAACCCACUUGAAUACCUUGAUAAUCGAUUAUUUCUUCUCGAAGUUCUGUAAACAUUUUAAACUGCUUGUCAUUAUACUAUCACUCUACAUGACGUUUCACGAAGUAUAGAUGAUCGCUGACAAGUAAGGACGCGGGCGCGAAAAGACGCGUCGAAAGAAGGGAGAAUUAAACUAAAGGGUUGAAACAUCGACUAGAUGACACGAAGUACAACGAACAACUGCAAUACAUAUACUAUAAAUAUUUACCGCGUUCAUGCACUUUGGUCUUUGUCUUUGUACUAACUUUAGAACAAAAACUGGUGUUUGUAUUCGUUUGUGUGCGAGUGGUAGUUCAACACAGAAAGUUUCAGCCUCAUUUUGCAUAACAUGCAUAAUUAAUAAGUCUUGACUUUUUAAUAUACGCUUUGUUUUUAUAGAAUAAACUGAAAUAGGCGACUAACAGUCGGUAAUUUUUUUCUACAGCCAAUCACUUGUCACAAAACAGCCGUAAACAACUUGAUUAUAAAUUAUAACAAAAUCUUUGUGUUGCUUGUAAACUUGAGUGAAGUAUUUAACAUUUAAAUGCAGCCAGUAAAAUGCAAAAAUCGCUGCAAAUUGCAGUGUUGUCGCACCAAAGUUGCAGUCAGAAUCGCAGGGUGUUUACAUUGGAGAUUUCAAAAAAUCGCCAUAGAAAUCGCAGUGAAAAUUGCAAGUGUAAACAGGGCUUAAGGUCUCUAUUACUCUGGCUAAUGCUAUGUUCUUUGUUAGUGUAAAGUUUUUAUCGAAACUUUGCAAUAGUGUGGUUUGUGGCAAGAAUUAAACGAAUUCAUAAAAUUAACACUCCAGUGGAGGAUGGGAUAAAGUUCCAAGCCUCUAUUUUCUUAUCCACUUUAGUAGGAAUAACAUGACGUAGUGCGCGGACGAACGCGUGAAAUGGACGCCAGAAUGAUACAAUUUCUAAUGAAUUGACUUGCUCAAAACUCACUGAGCAGAUAAAUGCUCAACAUAAAUUAUUAUGAAAUUACGAAUGAAUUACUUCUAACCAGAAUAAAAAUAAGCAAUACUGAACAAAAAAAUAUAUGUAGCUAAAUAGAUCCUGAAACUUAAAGAUGUGUUAUAAUUGAAAAGAGGCAACUCUUAAUUAAAUCGAACUCUUAAUUAACUCGAAUUAAAUCGACCGUCAAUUUUAUAUCGUGUUUAAUGUGCAGCCUCGUACCCAGGCUCCGACUCAGACCGUGGCCGUGUUUGAAUAAAUCCAUUAUUAUGUCUAUAUUAUAGCAUAUAUAGAAAUUAAUUCAUCUACAUGCAAUCAAAUUAUGAUAAACUAACAUACUGCAUAAACUGAGAAAUGAUUUUGUCAUUGAUGAAUUGCCUUAAAUACUGUAUCUUGAGUCACAGUAUAUUGCUGACACGCAAUUGUAAAAAAAACACAAACAACCCCAGGUAACGUAACUUUCGUGGAAGUAAAUGAAGUGAACUAAAAUCAAGUAGAUCAUAGACGUUUUUAGAUGAAGUAAAGGUUCCACUAUGUCAUUCGCAUUAUAUAGUAAUUGAAGAAACAGAGAUUUGGAGCAAGUCGAGGGGAGGAUGGGGCAUCGUAGCUCAGUUGCAUUGGACUAACAGUUAUUAGUAACUAACAUCGUAGCUCAGUUGCAUUGGACCAACACAAACACAAACACAAACACAAACACAAACACAAACACAAACACAAACACAAACACAAACACAAACACAAACAAGAAGUAUAAUAAGAAUUAGUUCGCAUAAUAAUUAAUAAUCGGAGGCAUAUAGUAAUUAGAGGCACUUUUAAUUUGCACCUAUGGUGGCAAGUUUAUACUGUUUUUUUUUAUUUCAAAUACAAGACAGACCAUACCGCUUAUAUAAGUACUGUAUGUACAUCUACCUAUGUAAUAUGAACACUUGAAUCAUUUUCUUGGUUUUCUACAACAAAAUGAAGUGACUCGCACUUUAGAAAUAUGUAUAUUUAGAUAUAUUUAUAUAUUAAUAUAUAUUUGUCUGAUUUUGCAGGCUCUUAUUACAGCCCAUGACCAAGUUACAAACAGACUAUUUGAAAAGUAUGUUGAAACUGACAUGGAAGAGGACAUGGAUGUGAGUUUCGGUUCUGUUCGAAUUGUCCGCUUGGUCAAAGAAGAACAAGAACCACUGGUAGGUUAACAGUAUCAG